GGGCGGGUGGGGGGGGUCUCACUGUGUUGCCUAGGCUGGUCUCGAACUCCUGGGCUCAAGCGAUCCUCCUGCAUCAGCCUCCCAAAGUGCUAGGAUCACAGGCGUGAGCCACCGCACCUGGCCCUAAUCUCCUCAUACCAUCUCAUUUUAACUUAAUGAACUCUUUAAAGGCUGUCUCCAGAUACAGUCUCAUCCUGAGGUAUUGGGGGUUUCAACAUUUGAAUUUGUCGGGGGCACACAGUUUGGACUAAGACAGAAGGAAGAGGAGGCCAGGGCGAUUGGGAUUGGGGCCUGAGCCCCGGCUGAGUGAAGGAGAGGAGAGCACCACAUCUCCUUCCUCAGCCACUGAGCGCCUACUGUGUGCAGCCCAG
rnacentral:lncRNA from 1 species